rnacentral:lncRNA from 1 species
AACAUAUUUAACCAUUAAUUGAAUGAACAUAGGCUACAAACACUUGCAUAAUUUAAUAUGCUUAUAAUCAUAUUACAUAUCAUUUAUUGAAGUGACUAACUAUAAUCAUCAGAGACAUUGUAUUUUUCCUAACUUCUAAAAUCAAGAUAGACAACAACAUUUUGGCAAAGAACCUAAAAUGAUUUUUUGUUUUUGCUGAAUAAAAAAAUAUGAAUAGUACAAGCUUAUUCUAAAUCUUAGCGCUAGACAAAUGAUAUAUUAGAGUUAUAAGAUAAGAUUAUGAUGAUAUGCAAAUAAAUUUUACAAUAAUAAACAUAAAGAUCUCCUAAAAAAAACAUAAAUAUAUUUUUUGACUUAAUCACUGGGAUCCACACAGGAACAACCAUUUGAAAAACACUUCAUAACUCCAUCGUGGUCACAUAGAAAACUUGGACAAUCAGAGUCAGAACUGCAAGGACCAAAACGUUCUGUGACAUAAACAAGAAUAAAUCUAAUGUUAGUUAAAGAUGUGAAAGAUUGUUUUUUUCUUUUUGGUGAAUAAGAUGUGAAAGAUUGAGUAUUAGUCAAAUAUGAAAAUUUGAAAAUAAGUGUAAAAAUGACAUACCGAAGUAGGUUACAAGAAAUAAUGAAAGGAAGAGGAUAAUAG